rnacentral:lncRNA from 1 species
UGGCCAGGCAAUAAGUACACAAAAAACAAUGCAUGCGACCCCGCUCCAGACUCCUGGCUAAGAGGUGCCUGCCCACCAUCAGGGAGGGCUAUGAGGAGCUGGUCCAGGACAUGAACCAGGCCAACAGCCGCCACCUCCCUCCCCAUGGUCAGGUACACUCACUGUCUACCCAUGACUACUUCCUGUCCAUCUGCCAGCUCGCCCGACCAACCUUCCCCCAGGGAGAACCUGACUGUGACAUCCUCACGGUGGGCGCUCUGGCCUCCCUGAGGCCUUGCCUGAGGCUGCACAGACUGAGGGACCCUGUGCCACCCUGUCAGCCUCUGAUCUCUAAGGUCAGCCGCCACACACAGUUAGAGCAAGAGGAGAGUCAGAAUGAGUGUAGUGGCCCAGAGAGAGUGGUGGAUGUCAGUUCACGUCAGACCUCCAGUAGGGUUGUCCCCAGUGUCUCUGACCCCUUGGAGUUCCUCUACGGUCACAGGGAAGGACUCCUUUCAGCCGCCUGUCGCGCCCAUGGCUCACAGGGCUGGAUGGGUGAAGGGAGUCAGAGUGCGACCCAGCGUCGACCACAACCCCCGGUACGUGCCAACAGUUUCCCCCGCAUGUGUUCCUCACCCCUGACCCAGCGCAAAAACAGCUGCCGUGAGCUAUGGCUGGUGGACCCCACUGACCAAAAGAAGCCAAACCCUGACCCUGCUCCACCACAGACAUCCUCAUCAGACCAGCAGAAACCUGAUGCCUCCAGCUCAUUCUCAUGGAGGUUCCAGAAUGACCCAGACAGGGCACCUGCAGGUGAGAGGGGGAAGUGCACACGCUACAUGGACAAUCACACAAUGGUAUCACACUGGAUCGCUGACUGUCGCUCGGCCUGGAGAGAAGCAAGAAUCAGGGCGUGCAUGCUUCCUGCCAUCGCAGAGAUGUAAACUUGUGUAGCGUUGUUAAUUCCCACUUUUAAGUAUUGUACAUUAUGGAUCCUUGAUGUACUUAUGUACCGCUUAAUUGGUACAUUUGGACAAUGCAGGUCCAUGUGGUAACAUGUACAAAUUGAGUUUUCAUGCCUGCCCUUUUUGUACAGUAUGUAGUGUAAGACAUAUUGUAGACUAGCGUAUGCCUCACACAUAUUACAGUAAGUGGAAUGUUGACAGUGCUUAGAAGACAUCAGAUUUUGGAAGGAUGAUCACGCGAGACAAGUAUUAGGGAGAGUAAAGAUGUGUGGAAAAGAUGCAGAAUUUGCUAUAAGGAUUAUGCACAAAGACAUAUGACUAAGAAAAAUGACAGAUCAUAAUCUUUACUAUUGAGUGAGUGAUAGCUCACUCCAUUAUUGACAAAUGAUAACUCUGGUC